rnacentral:lncRNA from 1 species
GGCAAUCAUGGCGGCCUCCUUGGUCGAGGAGACGUUUGUGAGAGUCGUCGAAGUUGAAAGCUCAAAAAGUGAACUUAAAAUUCAUCAAUCUUACAUUGGUGAUGUGGGAUGUGUGGUUUGGGACGCCGCACUUGUUUUGAGCAAGUACAUCGACUUCGUGCAUUCUGUAGAAUGUGUGAAAACUGAUGAUUGUGAUGGUGGUUUGGUAGCUUAUGCGUCACAAUUGAUCAAAAACAUUCACAGUGCAAGAGCCAUUGAAUUAGGCGCUGGAACUGGAGCUGUUGGACUUCUUGCAGCAUCAUUAGGAUGUCAGACAACACUUACUGACUUGGCCAGUCUCAUGCCACUUCUGACUAAGAAUAUUGAGGAGAACAACCUGCAGGAAAAAGCUUCUGCUGCUGUUUUAGAUUGGGAUGACCAUGCUGACACUUCUCUGCCUCAGCCUGAUCUGCUGCUGGUAGCAGACUGUGUGUACUAUGUAGAGGCGCUUCUGCCGCUUUUGCACACCAUAUCAGCCUUGGCCGGGCCCAAAACUGCAGUGCUGAUUAGCUAUGAAGAUAGAGAGUCUGAGGUGAAGCAAGUGCUGCAAAAGAAGUUCUCGGAGGUCCUGAGGAAGCAAUUCGAUGUAGAAGAGGUUCCGACACAGAAAAUGCAUCCAGACUAUAUGGCUGAUGAUAUUCAUAUUUUAGUAGCAAGGAAGAAACAGUGAAAAACGCUCUGCUUGUUUGGUGUGUAUGAUUCGUCUUCGGUGGAACUGUUACGGUGAGUAUUUUUACAAUCAGUCUGAGAAUUCACGCUGCAGCAGUUCCGACCCCCAAUUUCACCGGAGCAUGAUCCAAUGCCGACAGAACAAUAUCGCUCCCGAUAUCUGACCGGUCCAUAGAGAUCACGGUCGUCCAGGUUCUCAGUGCGUGGUUAACCCCUCCCCUCCUCACCCCUACCCCACUCCAGUACCACCAUCAUCGCUAGGAACAGAACGUGUGGCGACACCGUAGAACGCCAACUGCGAGCGGGUCGGUUUCGUCAUGCAUUGACCUCUGCCUUUUCAUACAAUUUUAGAAACUUUGGGCUUUAGUGGAUCUGUUCAGGAAUCAGCUCCGGAUUAGUUGCUUGUCCGAGACACUUUGUAAAUUGUAUGAAAUAUACUAAAUAUUGUUAAA